GUAUUUGUGCGGUUAACGCAAGGUUUCAUUCUGAGACUUUUGUAAGGGUAUGUAUAGAUGCGGGCGGCUUUCGAAGGGCACUCAAGCCCCGCUACUGGAACGCCAACGCCAUGGUUCACAAGAGGGGUGGACAGGGUUGCGAGGAAGGGGCCUCUUGCGAGACCCCGACCCGUAAUUCUGUAAUGAUCCUUCCGCAGGUUCACCUACGGAAA
rnacentral:misc_RNA from 1 species